UACGUAGGGUGCAAGCGUUAAUCGGAAUUACUGGGCGUAAAGCGUGCGCAGGCGGUUUUGUAAGUCUGAUGUGAAAUCCCCGGGCUCAACCUGGGAAUUGCAUUGGAGACUGCAAGGCUAGAAUCUGGCAGAGGGGGGGUAGAAUUCCACGUGUAGCAGUGAAAUGCGUAGAUAUGUGGAGGAACACCGAUGGCGAAGGCAGCCCCCCUGGGUCAAGAUUGACGCUCAUGCACGAAAGCGUGGGGAGCAAACAGG
rnacentral:rRNA from 1 species